rnacentral:rRNA from 1 species
UGGAUCAGUGGCGAACGGGUGAGUAACACGUGGGCAACCUGCCCUCAGCUCUGGGAUAACUCCAAGAAAUUGGGGCUAAUACUGGAUACGACCGCUGACCGCAUGGUCUGGUGGUGGAAAGAUUUAUCGGCUGGGGAUGGGCCCGCGGCCUAUCAGCUUGUUGGUGGGGUAGUGGCCUACCAAGGCGACGACGGGUAGCCGGCCUGAGAGGGCGACCGGCCACACUGGGACUGAGACACGGCCCAGACUCCUACGGGAGGCAGCAGUGGGGAAUUUUCCGCAAUGGGCGAAAGCCUGACGGAGC